AGUAAUAUGUCUGAUUAAAGUAAUAAAUUGUAAAUUUAUUUAUAGAGAUUAAAUCUCUUAUUACUA
rnacentral:tRNA from 1 species